rnacentral:rRNA from 1 species
GACAGAGGUGCCGAGCGUUCGGCGGAAUCACUGGGCUUAAAGCGUGUGUAGGCGGAUCGUUAAGUACCUUGUGAAAUCCCACGGCUCAACCGUGGAACUGCUGGGUAUACUGGCGGUCUUGAGCCACCUAGGGGCGAGCGGAACAAGCGGUGGAGCGGUGAAAUGCGUAGAUAUCGCUUGGAACGCCAACGGUGAAAACAGCUCGCUGGGGGUGUGCUGACGCUGAGACACGAAAGCCAGGGGAGCGAACGGG